rnacentral:rRNA from 1 species
UACGUAAGUGGCGAGCGUUAUCCGGAAUUACUGGGCGUAAAGCGUGCGUAGGCGGUUUAGUGUGUGGGAAUUGAAAGCCCGGGGCUCAACUCCGGAUCCGGUUCCCAAACUGCUAGACUUGAGCGUAUCAGAGGACAGCGGAAUUCCCGGUGUAGCGGUAAUAUGCGUAGAUAUCGGGAGGAACACCAGUGGCGAAGGCGGCUUACUGGGCCUUAACUGACGCUGAGGCACGAAAGCGUGGGGAGCAAACAGG